GGAGGAAGUGAUGAACCCCAAAGGUUAGAACUUGGUAGCAACGGAUUUGGAGGCAGAUUCAAUAAGAAAGGUGCAACAGGGAGCAUGGACGGUGCACUGGUACUAACAUCUGCUACUUGUACAGCACCAGGAGAUGUCAUGCCAAUGGUUGGUGGUGUUGGAUUAGGGAAAUGAGUCUGUAUUAUGGCAGGAUCAUCAGGAACAACUGCUGUACUUUGAGGGGUUGCUGAAGAUAUA
rnacentral:misc_RNA from 1 species